UGAGUAUUAGUUAGUUUUCUCGUUUGAAUUGUUUUACAUUUGUCAUUUUGGGGCCUUUUAUAGCUGACUAUGCGAUAUGGAUUAUACUCAUAGUUGAAGGCCGUAGAGUGACCUAUAGUUGUUAAUUUCUGUGUCAUGUGGUCUCUUGUGGAGAUGUGUCUCAUUGGCAAUCAUACCACAUCUUCUUUUUUAGCUCACCUGGCCCUUGUGAGCUUUCCUUAUCACUUGGCAUUCGUCGUCCAUUGUCAUCCGUUAACUUUUACAAAAAUAUUCUCCUCUGAAACUACUAGGUCAAAUUUAACCAAACUUGGCCACAAUCAUCACUAAGGUAUUUAGUUAAACAAAAUGUGUCCCAUGACCCUACCCGCCAACCAAGAUGGCUGACAAGGCUAAAAAUAGAACAUAGGGGUAAAAUGCCGUUUUUGGCUUAUAUCUCUGAAACCAAGGCAUUAAGAG
rnacentral:lncRNA from 1 species